CGAAUGUUUCUCUUAUUAAAUGUGUAUCAGCCUCUAGAGGGAAGGGGUAGUUUAUACUAUGGUUCACGUCGUGUUCAUAUUACCACAAAAUUGCUUGGAGAUGUUGAUGUAAAGUAAAAUUGUAGAAAAAGAUGCUUUGACAACCUAACUGUACAAACUCCGUUACUGCCAUUUUUCACAAGCCUUUUCUUAGCCACACACUACAUCUCUAGUUUAUACUACUGUUGUUCGUUUCUUGCAAUGCUACUCACCACUUUUGUACUAAUUUUCUACUAAUUCUUUAAUAAAUUCAGGGGGAAGUUUUCCCUCCUUUUUGUUCCAAAGAGAAAUUGUAAUUAUGGCAUAAAGCGACCGAUAUUAGAAUUUGUAAUGACAAUGUCUGAACGAUAUAGAGUGCAAUUAGUGCAGCCUAGGUCCUUGAUGAAGAGGAAAUUAAAUUGCUAUUUCGGAUUUAUCUAACAUGAAUGGCAGACUGUCGACAACUUUUUAACAUAGUCCAUUGCAAGGUCCACUGUACCGACCAUACCGACGUAUCAGUGGGCACCGGUACCGGUACCAUACCGAACCGAACUGGUACUGUACCGAUUUAGCUGGUUCGGGCCAAAAGCCAAAAAAAAUUUGAGGUUGGACGGUACGGGCCAGUACCGGCUUGGUACAGGAUGGACGGGCCAGUUCUAGCUCGGUACGGGUCGGUACCGACCGGUACAGAUUGCGAAUAGUCAAACCGAAAAAUAUAGCUGUACCGUACCAGUUCCGUCCGGUACCGGUACAUACCGGCCCGUACCGAUCCAUACCGAUCGGUACGG
rnacentral:lncRNA from 1 species